CAACCAUCCGCAAGAGGCUAAGCGACGACUAGUUUUAACGCGCGUGCGCAGUAUAUUUCUACUGUGUUUCUGGGCGGUGUUCUCGGAAGCCGAGAGGGACAAAGCGAGCAGGCGGUGGAAGAAAGGAAGAAGCCUUCGGAAGCUGUUCAACAUCAGAGCUCUCUUAACUUCUUGAGAAUUCCCUUCUUUAUGAGUUUGGGUGGGACAACAGAGCUCAUUAUAUCAGGAAAAUGAUACAGUUGCUGCAUCCAUAUCUGUGGCUUACUCCAAAUGCAUCAAGGUGUGCCUCUCAUCAGUGUUCCAGCCAGAUGGGCCAUCUGGGACCAAACUCAUCUGUCUUAACCAAGGAUGCUGUUGUAGAAUAAGCAAGACCCUUCUGAACAAUACAGUAUCACCACCAACAGUCUGUGAGGAAUUCUAAGAUGAAAUGGGACUUAAAGCCAUACCUGAAUGAAGCAAGGAACGCCCCUUGGCAAACAGGAUGAAAGGCAAGUGUUGGAGGUGAAGAAAGCUGGGCUGUCAAUAUAAAUCAAAAAAAGCCCUUUGUAUGUUUUAUCCU